AUGAACGCUAGCUACAGGCUUAACACAUGCAAGUCGAGGGGCAGCAUGAACUUAGCUUGCUAAGUUUGAUGGCGACCGGCGCACGGGUGAGUAACACGUAUCCAACCUGCCGAUGACUCGGGGAUAGCCUUUCGAAAGAAAGAUUAAUACCCGAUGGCAUAGUUCUUCCGCAUGGUAGAACUAUUAAAGAAUUUCGGUCAUCGAUGGGGAUGCGUUCCAUUAGGUUGUUGGCGGGGUAACGGCCCACCAAGCCUUCGAUGGAUAGGGGUUCUGAGAGGAAGGUCCCCCACAUUGGAACUGAGACACGGUCCAAACUCCUACGGGAGGCAGCAGUGAGGAAUAUUGGUCAAUGGACGAGAGUCUGAACCAGCCAAGUAGCGUGAAGGAUGACUGCCCUAUGGGUUGUAAACUUCUUUUAUACGGGAAUAAAGUGAGGCACGUGUGCCUUUUUGUAUGUACCGUAUGAAUAAGGAUCGGCUAACUCCGUGCCAGCAGCCGCGGUAAUACGGAGGAUCCGAGCGUUAUCCGGAUUUAUUGGGUUUAAAGGGAGCGUAGGCGGACGCUUAAGUCAGUUGUGAAAGUUUGCGGCUCAACCGUAAAAUUGCAGUUGAUACUGGGUGUCUUGAGUACAGUAGAGGCAGGCGGAAUUCGUGGUGUAGCGGUGAAAUGCUUAGAUAUCACGAAGAACUCCGAUUGCGAAGGCAGCUUGCUGGACUGUAACUGACGCUGAUGCUCGAAAGUGUGGGUAUCAAACAGGAUUAGAUACCCUGGUAGUCCACACAGUAAACGAUGAAUACUCGCUGUUUGCGAUAUACAGUAAGCGGCCAAGCGAAAGCGUUAAGUAUUCCACCUGGGGAGUACGCCGGCAACGGUGAAACUCAAAGGAAUUGACGGGGGCCCGCACAAGCGGAGGAACAUGUGGUUUAAUUCGACGCAACGCGAAGAACCUUACCAGGGCUUGACAUAUAGAGGAAUAUGUUAGAGAUAAUAUAGCUCUUCGGAGUCUCUAUACAGGUGGUGCAUGGUUGUCGUCAGCUCGUGUCGUGAGAUGUUGGGUUAAGUCCCGCAACGAGCGCAACCCUUGUGAUAUGUUACUAACAUUGAGUUGAGGACUCAUAUCAGACUGCCGGUGAUAAACCGGAGGAAGGUGGGGAUGACGUCAAAUCAUCAUGCCCCUUAUGGCCUGGGCUACACACGUACUACAAUGGGUGUCAACAAAGAGAAGCGAAACCGCGAGGAAGAGCAAACCUCAAAAACACACCCCCAGUUCAGAUCGCAGGCUGCAACCCGCCUGCGUGAAGCAGGAAUCGCUAGUAAUCGCGGGUCAGCAUACCGCGGUGAAUACGUUCCCGGGCCUUGUACACACCGCCCGUCAAGCCAUGAAAGCCGGGGGUACCUGAAGUGCGUAACCGCGAGGAGCGCCCUAGGGUAAAACUGGUGAUUGGGGCU
rnacentral:rRNA from 1 species